rnacentral:rRNA from 1 species
GAGUGAAGCGGCAAAAGCUCAAAUUUGAAAUCUGGCGCUUCCGGUGUCCGANUUGUAAUUUGGAGAGGCAUCUUCUGGGGGGANCCGGCCUAUCUUCCUUGGAACAGGAGGUCACAGAGGGUGAGAAUCCCGUCCUUGGCUGGAUGUUCCCCCCUGUACGUANNGNCUUCUACNANUCNAGUUGUUUGGGAAUGCANCUCAAAAUGGGUGGNAAAUUUCNUCUAAAGCUAAAUACUGGCGAGAGACCGAUAGCGCACNANUANAGUGAUCNAAANAUGAAAAGCACUUUGAAAAUAGAGUCAAAANNUACGUGAAAUUGUUGAAAGGGAANCGCUGGAGACCANACUCGGCCCCGGAUGAACAAGNCGCCUUCNGNNGGUUGCACUUGUCCUGGGCCGGGCCAGCAUCAGUUGGGGCGGUGGGAUAAAGGCGCGCGGAAUGUGGCUCCCCUCGGGGAGUGUUAUAGCCGCGGGUGCAAUGCCGCCUGCCCCGACUGUGGACCGCGCUUUGGCUAGGAUGCUGGCGUAAUGGUUUUCAGCGACCCGUCUUGAAACACGGACCAAGGAGUCUAACAUCUAUGCAAGUGUUUGGGCCUCAAACCCUCACGCGUAAUGAAAGUGAACGGAGGUGGGNACCCCGCGAGGGACGCACCAUCGACCGAUCCUGAUGUCUUCNGAUGGAUUUGAGUAGNANCAUAGCUGUUGGGACCCGAAAGAU